GGGGAAUAUUGGACAAUGGACGAAAGUCUGAUCCAGCGACGCCGCGUGGAGGAAGAAGUCCUUCGGGAUGUAAACUCAUGAAGCUAACGAAUAAGACGGAAGGGGAACCUUCCGGGAGAAGGUAAUUAGUGAAAAGCCCCGGCUAACUACGUGCCAGCAGCCGCGGUAAUACGUAGGGGGCUAGCGUUAUCCGGAUUUACUGGGCGUAAAGGGUGCGUAGGUGGUUUCUUAAGUCAGGAGUGAAAGGCUACGGCUCAACCGUAGUAAGCUCUUGAAACUGGGAAACUUGAGUGCAGGAGAGGAAAGUGGAAUUCCUAGUGUAGCGGUGAAAUGCGUAGAUAUUAGGAAGAACACCAGUGGCGAAGGCGGCUUUCUGGACUGUAACUGACGCUGAUGCAUGAAAGCGUGGGGAGCAAACA
rnacentral:rRNA from 1 species